rnacentral:rRNA from 1 species
GGGGAAUAUUGGACAAUGGGGGGAACCCUGAUCCAGCCAUGCCGCGUGUGUGAAGAAGGCCUUAUGGUUGUAAAGCACUUUAAGCGAGGAGGAGGCUCCUGUAGUUAAUACCUACAGUGAGUGGACGUUACUCGCAGAAUAAGCACCGGCUAACUCUGUGCCAGCAGCCGCGGUAAUACAGAGGGUGCGAGCGUUAAUCGGAUUUACUGGGCGUAAAGCGUGCGUAGGCGGCUUUUUAAGUCGGAUGUGAAAUCCCCGAGCUUAACUUGGGAAUUGCAUUCGAUACUGGGAAGCUAGAGUAUGGGAGAGGAUGGUAGAAUUCCAGGUGUAGCGGUGAAAUGCGUAGAGAUCUGGAGGAAUACCGAUGGCGAAGGCAGCCAUCUGGCCUAAUACUGACGCUGAGGUACGAAAGCAUGGGGAGCAAAC